CUGACCGAUAGUGAACCAGUACCGUGAGGGAAAGGCGAAAAGAACCCCGACGAGGGGAGUGAAAAAGAACCUGAAACCGUGUACGUACAAGCAGUGGGAGCACGCUUAGGCGUGUGACUGCGUACCUUUUGUAUAAUGGGUCAGCGACUUAUAUUCUGUAGCAAGGUUAACCGAAUAGGGGAGCCGAAGGGAAACCGAGUCUUAACUGGGCGUUAAGUUGCAGGGUAUAGACCCGAAACCCGGUGAUCUAGCCAUGGGCAGGUUGAAGGUUGGGUAACACUAACUGGAGGACCGAACCGACUAAUGUUGAAAAAUUAGCGGAUGACUUGUGGCUGGGGGUGAAAGGCCAAUCAAACCGGGAGAUAGCUGGUUCUCCCCGAAAGCUAUUUAGGUAGCGCCUCGUGAAUUCAUCUCCGGGGGUAGAGCACUGUUUCGGCAAGGGGGUCAUCCCGACUUACCAACCCGAUGCAAACUGCGA
rnacentral:rRNA from 1 species